rnacentral:misc_RNA from 1 species
GCCCAGCCUGGCUGUUUGAAUUACUACGUAAUAUAUAUCGUCAUGAUUUCGAAGAAAAAGUUGACUUUGCCACUGACGAUACUUACAAGCAGAUGGGAUUUUCGCAGACUCGAUUUGACAGAAACAAGAGAGAGUUGCUGCAACAAGGGGUAAUGGACAAAGACUUUUUGCGUGCCAUCGUUGGUUACCUUAUUCCCCCUGAUAUGAAAGAACAAUUCAAUUUCAUGUUAGAUAUACUUCUUCGAGGUUUCAAAAUAGGUUAUCCCGCUGCAAAAAAGACCAAGGAAAUGACAUAUAAUCUCAGCCCUGAAAUUGAAAAUGUCGACAAUGUUUCCAAAAUAUUGAUACCGUGGAUUAGAAACACAGAGGAACCUGAAGAGGUGACAUCAUUAUGGGAAGACCACAACGACCGGGAAAGGGUAGCUGCCUUAUUGAGAUUUCCAAAAUACAUGCCGCCAGGUUUGUUCGAGCUUUUGUGUGUUGGUGCACAGAAAGUGGAGAAGCAUAAUCUUACCUUCAAAGCACAUUGGAGCAACGGUAUUUUAGCUCGACACAAUAAAAUCGACGCUGUACUGAUGAUUAGCUAUACAAAUGGCCCAAAAGGGAAGGGUGCUAGUUUGAAGUAUGAGUUAAGAGAUGACAGCCCAGACCCAAUGUAUUAUCCAACAAGGCCAGCGGCAAUGUGGACAAUACUUCUUCCGCUUCUACAAGACUUCGAAGAAAUAAUUAAGUCAUUUAAAGGUGUCCUAGUCGAGAGGCAGAUGCUCUGCAAGUUUUGCCAAAAUCCUUCUUUCCUUGGAGAAUGGAAUACGCCAAAAGAGACUCAAAAUCUGCCGGAGAAAAUCUGUGAAGUUUGCAACGAGAAAGUAGACACUGAUACUUUGGUUCAGCAACGAGAGGAAAAAAGAGUUGACUUAAAUACUUUAAGAGCUCGAAUUGCUGCGCAGGCGCAAGAAGCCGCCAGGCGCGCUCGCAAUUCAAAUCCCGUUGAUUCCGACACAUGAUGUGCUGCUUAAGUUAGGUGAAAUUCGAGCACGAAGAAAAGGCGCCAUGGCAAAAGGAAUGACUCUUCAGCAGAUGCUUCACGAAGAAGAAUUAGAUAAACCAAACUAUGGACGAGAACGACGCAGAAACGUAGGGGUGAUUCAGACACCUGAUAUGUCUAGUCUUCUGCCGAUCCCAACCAUAAAUGUAGGGCCCGGAGAAGAAUCAGAAACUGUUGAGACAGACGAUGCGACACAGGAAAAUAUGGAGAAUAUCCGCGCACUUUUUCUCUUGAAUUUUCCUGUCAAUGAGGACGAGCAAAUGUCAGCAACGGAAACACGUGACCAGAGUGAAAGCGACGAAGUUGCUGAUUGAAAUCGACAGCGGACAAUAUGAUAAGUACAAUCACUUAAAGUUCUUUCAUCAAAGUAUGACAUUCAAAAAAAUUCUAAUAGCCUUGUUAUGUCAAGCUAUUAUAAUAACUGGAUAAAUGAGGAAGUUUUCACUCUGUAGAAUUUAUGAUUUGUUUAGAUAUGAAAAUAAGGGGAGUCAUUGCUUUGUAUGAUUUUGCACACAGUUUUACAAUUAAAAAAAUAUGGUGCAUUGUAAGUUUUAACAACGCAAUAAUGUAUAUGUUUUGUUUUCAUUAAUACAUGUUUAGAAAUCAGAUAUGUUAUUUGUUAGAAUUUAGUAUCAUAUGUUACAAAGGAAUUGUUUGUAUUGCACCAGCUGUUAAAAUUUCGUUAUCAGACUUCAUUUUCCUAUCAUCAUAUACUUAUUUAUUUAUUCAUUGAUUCUUUAAAUGUUGUCAGGGUGGUGAUGGCUCAUUCUUAGUAGCUCAAAUCUAUAUACGUUCAUAUAUUGUUUUAUUGUAUCAGUUAUGUAUACAUCGUUACAUUGAUAAAAUUUGAAAAUAAAACCGUUGU